CGCCGGCCUGCCGGCGGCCAGCGGCCGGCGCUUGGGCCCAGGCUGCCUGCCCUGCCCUCACAGGUUCCCAGCGCCAGUUACACACCCGCUCGAGCCGGAGACUCCGUCUCCAAACUCACCCAACGGAGAGCGACUCCAACAACUCACACGUCAGACCACCGGGCAGAAAUGAUACCCCUUCUCCCUCCCGCCCCCCGAAGCGCCGUACCAAUCCUCUGAUCCUGCAUGAAAACACAAGGGUUACUGAUCACACAGUUUAAGAAAUCGCCCACGAUUCUAGCUUUCACCACCCUCUGCCCCGCAAAUCAAAAAAAGGAAGAAAAGAGGGAGUGAAGAGAGGGAAGUCGACAGAAAA